UACGGGAGGCAGCAGUGAGGAAUAUUGGACAAUGGAUGGAAAUUUGAUCCAGCCAUGCCGCGUGCAGGAAGAAGGUCCUAUGGAUUGUAAACUGCUUUAGUGCGGGAGCAAUAAGGUCCACGAGUGGACCGAUGAGAGUACCGCAAGAAUAAGCAUCGGCUAACUCCGUGCCAGCAGCCGCGGUAAUACGGGGGAUGCAAGCGUUAUCCGGAUUUAUUGGGUUUAAAGGGUGCGUAGGCGGUCUGUCAAGUCGGCGGUGAAAACAGCAUGCUAAACAUGGUGACUUGCCGUCGAGACUGGUGGGCUUGAAUGUGGAUGAUGCCGGCGGAAUGUGUAAAGUAGCGGUGAAAUGCAUAGAUAUUACACAGAAGGUCGAUUGCGAAAGCAGCUGGCAAAGGCACUAUUGACGCUGAGGCACGAAAGUGCGGGGAUCGAACAGGAUUAGAUACCCUGGUAGUCCGCACAGUAAACGAUGAUAACUAACUGUUGGCGAUACACAGUCGGUGGUAAAGAGAAAGCGAUAAGUAUCCACC
rnacentral:rRNA from 2 species